GGGGAAUUUUGGACAAUGGGGGAAACCCUGAUCCAGCCAUUCCGCGUGAGUGAAGAAGGCCUUCGGGUUGUAAAGCUCUUUCAGCAGGAACGAAACGGUCGGCUUUAAUAAAGUCGGCUAAUGACGGUACCUGCAGAAGAAGCACCGGCUAACUACGUGCCAGCAGCCGCGGUAAUACGUAGGGUGCGAGCGUUAAUCGGAAUUACUGGGCGUAAAGCGUGCGCAGGCGGCGACAUAAGACAGAUGUGAAAUCCCCGGGCUCAACCUGGGAACUGCGUUUGUGACUGUGUUGCUAGAGUGUAGCAGAGGGGGGUGGAAUUCCACGUGUAGCAGUGAAAUGCGUAGAGAUGUGGAGGAACACCGAUGGCGAAGGCAGCCCCCUGGGUUAACACUGACGCUCAUGCACGAAAGCGUGGGGAGCAAAC
rnacentral:rRNA from 1 species